GAGCAUACUAUCCUAUGAUAAAUAAGAUUUCGGCUCUUACCACAUUGACUCUCCUCAAUUAUGCUCU
rnacentral:tRNA from 1 species